rnacentral:tRNA from 1 species
GCGGGGGUGGCCGAGCUAGGACAAAGGCGGCGGACUUAAGAUCCGCUCCCUUAGGGGUGCGUGGGUUCAAAUCCCACCCCCCGCACCA